rnacentral:rRNA from 1 species
UACGGAGGGUGCAAGCGUUAUCCGGAUUUACUGGGUUUAAAGGGUGUGUAGGCGGGCUUUUAAGUCAGUGGUGAAAUCUCCGGGCUCAACCUGGAAACUGCCAUUGAUACUAUUAGUCUUGAAUUGUGUUGAGGUAGGCGGAAUAAGUCAUGUAGCGGUGAAAUGCAUAGAUAUGACUUAGAACACCAAUUGCGAAGGCAGCUUGCUAAACAAAUAUUGACGCUGAGGCACGAAAGCGUGGGGAUCAAACAGG